rnacentral:rRNA from 1 species
AUUGAACGCUGGCGGCAUGCCUUACACAUGCAAGUCGAACGGCAGCACGGGUGCUUGCACCUGGUGGCGAGUGGCGAACGGGUGAGUAAUACAUCGGAACGUACCUUAUCGUGGGGGAUAACGCAGCGAAAGUUGCGCUAAUACCGCAUAAGCCCGGAGGGGGAAAGCGGGGGACCGUAAGGCCUCGCGCGAUUAGAGCGGCCGAUGUCUGAUUAGCUUGUUGGUGAGGUAAAAGCUCACCAAGGCGAUGAUCAGUAGCUGGUCUGAGAGGACGAUCAGCCACACUGGGACUGAGACACGGCCCAGACUCCUACGGGAGGCAGCAGUGGGGAAUUUUGGACAAUGGGGGCAACCCUGAUCCAGCAAUGCCGCGUGAGUGAAGAAGGCCUUCGGGUUGUAAAGCUCUUUUGUCAGGGAAGAAACAGCAGCUCUAACACAGUCUGCGAAUGACGGUACCUGAAGAAUAAGCACCGGCUAACUACGUGCCAGCCGCCGCAGUAA